rnacentral:misc_RNA from 1 species
GUGUGCGUGUGCGCCUGCUGCUGGCACGGUAUGCUGGAACGGAUGCGUUGGCGAGCGUGCCUUUGUUGUGGUACGCGUUCGCUGGAGCGAGUGCCCGCUAUUCGGGAAGCACUGUGAUGCUCGUGGCGGUAUUUCCAUGAGGUAGGUGUCGGGAGCGGAUACGAGUCUAGCCGUACGAUCAACUUGCAGAGCGUUGGGUACUGUCCAGUGCAUCCUGGGAGCGGUACUGGGUGAUGCGGAAUCGAGGCCACCACCGAUACGCGAGCGCCAGUAUCUCGUUGGGCGGCACGCGGGCGUUGGUCGGUGUCAGCGCGCGGUUCAUAGGGUGCAACUGGGCAGACGGGCGGGUGCGGCGGCGGUCCCUAUGCGUUCGUAUGUAGGCUAUCGUUUGACUCCAGGUGGCUCUGUUUCGGACGGCGUUUGUCGGGGACUUCAGCGCACCUGCUCGUAAUUUUCGCUGAAGAUCGUCAUGGGAACGACUUCGAGUGGGUACGUUCCGCUCGCAGAGAAUGGGGGUUUUCUGAAACCCGACUGAGCACCUCACACUGCAACUGCGAUUCUUGAGUUCCUGUUGAUCUGGAUGGUUUCCAGUUGGAAAUCAAUACGGGGGACUCUUGUUGCCAAAUUGACAGUGGCGGCUGAUAGACAAGACCUGCAGAGUGGAUUCUACCGGGCCUUCGAUUCCCGUUCGGGAUUCCGCGCUGCAUGCGAAUACCCGGAGGCGACGACGUGACCGCCGCCUGGUAUGAGCCUGGUGUGACCCAGGCCAUAAAGUCAUCUGUUUGUGAUGCCCAUGCAGCAUGCGAUUCAAGGCGCUGUCAUGGCGCCCGCUGCCUACUACCGUCCCGAGUCGGAUACGCACCAAUCUGAGAUCACUGGAGUGCAGUGGCUGCCUCCGCGAUAUUCACGCGUGUGCUUUACGAACCAUCCUUUUCGGAUGUGCGAGCGCACGAUCGGCUGCACUGGAAAGCGAUAUUGUGUAACCACCGCAAGGAAGCCGCCCUUGUUAAACGCAAUGCGAUGCUGAAUACGACUGUCGAUUUCGCGAUCAAGCCAAUAUUGUGUAACCACCGCUAGGAAGCCGACCCUGUUAAAAGCGAUACCACACAGAAUAUGACUGUCGAUUUCGCGAUCAGGCCAAUAUUGUGUAACCACCGCAAGGAAGCCGACCCUGUUAAAAGCGAUACCACACAGAAUACGACUGUCGAUUUCGCGAUCAUGCCAUUCGUAGUGCCAUGCUCGGACUCUAGUGUGUAGCACUGUACUGCGCAAGGAUCGGGGUGAUCUCUUCCAUAUAUCUACACAUGACAUCGUAUGAAGCUGGUGCUUGUUCCGACGCACCACAUCUACAUGGAUAUAUAAACAAGGACGGCGUCAUGUUUUCCGAGGUCGAGUGCGCUCGGUGAAAGAGGAGAGCAUGUUCCCUUCAGGUUCCACACUGAUUGACAUCUGUGUCUCCCACAUGCAUACGCCAGUAUUUGAAAAUCUAGAGAGCGCACCAGUAUCGUGCCAGGAUGGUGUGUGCCUCUGAAACGGCGAAAGCCGCGCAGUGCCAUGCAGCUGGCAGUACCAUCUGGACACUGCGGACACAGGUGGCCGCGCACCGUCUUUUCCCGAGAGCGCAUCCCAUGAUGCGCCACGGACGCGGGAAAUCGCAGGUCGUGUCACGGAAACAGCAGAUUCCGUGACGCCGGCGAUGAACAGCGCAUGCGCGCAUCACGUAUCUAGGCCGCAGCGCGCGACGUGGUGCGCGGCAGAUGUGUAUGUAUGUGUCAUUAUUUCCCUGAAGCAGGACGCUGCACCCGCGAUGCGCUUCUAACGACGCAUCUGAUUUUAUUGAGACGAUGCGGUAAACACGA